CCUACGGGAGGCUGCAGUGAGGAAUAUUGGUCAAUGGACGCAAGUCUGAACCAGCCAUGCCGCGUGCUGGAAGACGGCCCUAUGAGUUGUAAACUGCUUUUGUACGAGGGUAAACUCCGUUACGUGUAAUGGUCUGUAAGUACCGCAUGAAUAAGGACCGGCUAACUCCGUGCCAGCAGCCGCGGUAAUACGGAGGAUUCAGGCGUUAUCCGGAUUUAUUGGGUUUAAAGGGUGCGUAGGCGGUCGGUUAAGUUUGCGGUGAAAUCCCGAGGCUCAACCUUGGAAUUGCGGCUGGUACUGGUCGGCUUGAGAGUGGGGGCGGUAGGCGGAAUGUAUGGUGUAGCGGUGAAAUGCUUAGAGAUCAUAAAGAACACCGAUUGCGAAGGCAGCAUACGGAGCUACUUCUGACGUUGAGGCACGAAGGCGCGGGGAGCGAACAGGAUUAGAUACCCGUGUAGUC
rnacentral:rRNA from 1 species